AUUGAACGCUGGCGGCAUGCUCUACACAUGCAAGUCGAACGGCAGCGGGGGCUUCGGCCUGCCGGCGAGUGGCGAACGGGUGAGUAAUGCAUCGGAACGUGCCCAUGUCGUGGGGGAUAACUACGCGAAAGCGUGGCUAAUACCGCAUACGCCCUGAGGGGGAAAGCGGGGGAUCUUUCGGGACCUCGCGCGAUUGGAGCGGCCGAUGUCGGAUUAGCUAGUUGGUGGGGUAAAGGCUCACCAAGGCGACGAUCCGUAGCUGGUCGGAGAGGAGGGUCAGCCACGCUGGGACUGAUACACGGCCCAGACUCCUACGGGAGGCAGCAGUGGGGAAUUUUGGACAAUGGGCGCAAGCCUGAUCCAGCCAUGCCGCGUGAGUGAAGAAGGCCUUCGGGUUGUAAAGCUCUUUCGGCCGGGGAGAAAUCGCACGGGCUAAUACCCUGUGUGGAUGACGGUACCGGAAUAAGAAGCACCGGCUAACUACGUGCCAGCAGCCGCGGUAACAC
rnacentral:rRNA from 1 species